rnacentral:rRNA from 1 species
AUCCUGGCUCAGGAUGAACGCUGGCGGCGUGCCUAACACAUGCAAGUCGAACGAAGCACUUCUGGUGGAGAUUCGUCGAAGACCGGAUUGACUUAGUGGCGGACGGGUGAGUAAUGUAUGAGCAACCUGCCUUUCAGAGGGGGGACAACAGUUGGAAACGACUGCUAAUACCGCAUAAUGUAUUUGGGUGGCAUCACCUGGAUACCAAAGGAGCAAUCCGCUGAAAGAUGGGCUCAUAUCUGAUUAGUUAGUUGGCAGGGUAACGGCCUACCAAGACUGCGAUCAGUAGCCGGACUGAGAGGUUGAACGGCCACAUUGGGACUGAGAUACGGCCCAGACUCCUACGGGAGGCAGCAGUGGGGAAUAUUGGGCAAUGGGCGAAAGCCUCGACCCAGCAACGCCGCGUGAAGGAAGAAGGUCUUCGGAUUGUAAACUUCUUUUAUGAGGGACGAAGGACGUGACGGUACCUCAUGAAUAAGCCACGGCUAACUACGUGCCAGCCGCCGC